GAUGAACGCUGGCGGCGUGCCUAAUACAUGCAAGUCGAGCGAACAGACGAGGAGCUUGCUCCUCUGACGUUAGCGGCGGUCGGGUGAGUAACACGUGGAUAACCUACCUAUAAGACUGGGAUAACUUCGGGAAACCGGAGCUAAUACCGGAUAAUAUAUUGAACCGCAUGGUUCAAUAGUGAAAGACGGUUUUGCUGUCACUUAUAGAUGGAUCCGCGCCGCAUUAGCUAGUUGGUAAGGUAACGGCUUACCAAGGCAACGAUGCGUAGCCGACCUGAGAGGGUGAUCGGCCACACUGGAACUGAGACACGGUCCAGACUCCUACAGGAGGCAGCAGUAGGGAAUCUUCCGCAAUGGGCGAAAGCCUGACGGAGCAACGCCGCGUGAGUGAUGAAGGUCUUCGGAUCGUAAAACUCUGUUAUUAGGGAAGAACAAAUGUGUAAGUAACUAUGCACGUCUUGACGGUACCUAAUCAGAAAGCCACGGCUAACUACGUG
rnacentral:rRNA from 1 species